UACGUAGGGUCCGAGCGUUGUCCGGAAUUAUUGGGCGUAAAGAGCUCGUAGGCGGUUUGUCGCGUCCGCUGUGAAAUCCCCGAGCUCAACUUGGGAAUUGCAGUGGAUACUGGCAGGCUGGAGUACGGUAGAGGAAGGUGGAAUUCCCGGUGUAGCAGUGAAAUGCGUAGAGAUCGGGAGGAACACCAGUGGCGAAGGCGGCCUUCUGGACCAGUACUGACGCUCAUGCACGAAAGCGUGGGGAGCAAACAGG
rnacentral:rRNA from 1 species